rnacentral:tRNA from 1 species
GCGGGAAUAGCUCAGUUGGUAGAGCGCUAGCCUUCCAAGCUGGAUGUCGCGGGUUCGAAUCCCGUUUCCCGCUCCA